CCAAGAGCAUCCUCAAGCUCGUAUGGAUAAAAGAAUGGAUAAAAUCACGGGUUUGCAGGAAAAUAAACCCUACACGCAAGCUGCAGCUACUGCGCGCGGAGCACAAGGGCUGCUGGUGCAUGGAAACAGAUCCAGCCCAGUCCAGGGCCCCCGUGCGCAGCCCGGCCAGCUCAGGGCCAUCUCCUGGAGGGUGGUACCCAGGUCUGGUCCCACCCCUGGACUCUCCACGUCCUCCUGCCCCCAAGGCCCAGUGCUGUGAGCUGGGGGAGCGCUCCUCCAUCGCCACCCCGGCAGCCCCUCCAGGACGGGAUCGCGCUGCAGGGCUCUGGGGAGGAGAGCGGCCGGUGCUCAGCGAAGCUUCACUGGAGCAUGCAGCUGGCCAGUCUCCCACCCACCACCCCAAACGCUACCCCCCUUUAUGACAAGCUCCUUUUGAACGUUUCUGCCUCUCCCGUUGGCAGCAAGAAGAAACGCAUCACUCUGGGAGCCGCUACUAAGGGAAGCCCAGAUGAAUCACACACAGACCGUUUCACCGAGUCCGUUGGGAGAGGUGUUUAAACUUUCUAAAUUUUUAUUAAGAGGAAAUAAUGAUUUUUUUAAGGAAAUGCUUGAAUUUCUCUCCUGGUAAAGCAGGUUUCUCUGAUCAGGAGCUGAGUCCCACAGGCUGCCCAGCUCUGCUACAGCAGGAGAGCGCCCUUCUGGGAAGUUCCAUGGGGAGAUGCAGGUCCAUCGUCCUGCUGCCGAAGGAGAUGCUCGGCAGGUUGCGCACGUUCCUCACCCAGCACUGCGGAAGAGGCAGCUCUCCUCACCCCCACACCGUGCACACAGAGCGGAGCCAGGGAGUCCUCCGUGCCCCUAGUCUUUUCGCAUCCCCCCAGCCCAUGGCACCGACUUCUCCUCGCCUUAGUCAGAGACCCUGGAGGCAUCUGUCCUCACAAAUAUAUCAGUUAAAAUCUCCCCGGUAUAAAUGUGCCUGAUAGACCCAUAGAGGAGCAGAGGGAAGGUGAGGAGCAGAGCCCGGCUGAGCCCUUCCAGUGCUGCUCCUGGUCCCCAGGCAAAACCUGGCCCUGGGGGUCAGUGGAAGUUCAUCACUGAUGUCUGUGGGGCCAAAAUUUCAUCUCCAGAGCGCAGCAGACUGCAGCCUGGAGCACGCAUCCACUCAAUUACAAGUCUGCUUCUCUGAUGCUGCACGUGAAAACACAAAUAUUUGUAGGUACUUGUUCUCACAAAACCUUCAGGAAUAUUUCCAGCCCUCCUCUGUGCUUUUUCUUGCACCUGUGCUGGGUUUUAAGAUGCCCCAUCAUGACAUCGCCUUUUUGGAAGGCUGAACCACUGUACUGAAGAAGCAGAUGCGGAGGGAGUGGUUUCCCAAGCAACAGUAACCAGGCAUCCAACAAAUAGGUUACAUCUGUUACUUCAAAAGCAAGACAAGAUGUGGAGGCCAACAUCUCCUGGGGUUUUGAGCGAAGCAGCCUUAUCUUUCUUCAACACUCCCUGCAAGGCAUGAAUGUGAGCACCACCCAGGCGCCGGAGUCUGGAAGGACUCACAAAGGGGUCCACACAGAGGGCCAGGCGGCCUCACGCUUUUGUACGCUUUCCAGAUUAUCUUGUGCUGAGCAACCCACCACAAAGCACAGAGUUAGAGUUCUGCCUACUUUUAUUAUUCUUAACGUUCAGAGUUCAACUGUCUUUCAUUCUCUAGCAUCAUCUUCUGUUCACAAAGUGAAACGCUAGAGAAGAUGACAGUUGCGGUGAAUAACCACCCAACUGACCUGCCGGGUGUCCCGAUGUCUGUAGUGUGCAACAGAGAUGGAAGCUUUUCAUCCAAGUGGGAUCUACCCAAACACACUCCGCUGCGAGCCACCAGCCCACGAAUCCAACUCUCGCCUCUGUCAGCUGCUUCUCUUUACACUCCUGUGCACCAGCACUGCCCCACCGUUGAAGAGGUCCAUAUCUGCUCUGGAGCAGACUCAGUCCAUCCGUUCUGUAAGUUCACUGAAAUGCUGGACAAGAUCAUCUUCUGCCCAGUGCAGAAAUGAGCUGCGCUGCAAUAGCUCACAGAUACGGAGGUAGACUGGCUCUCGCUCUCACAGCCUGCCAGGCUGUGUCACUCCAUGUCCUCAGUUAAUCCAUCUCUAGCCACCACAUUAAUUCCUCCUUGAGCCAAGGAAAAAAUUCUCAUGUCAAGUAAGAUCUGCUCCUGCCGUGCCCAACAAAAGGUAACCCUCUGUUGGUAGGAGAGCUCUAGAGGUGGCCAUAACGUAUUGUCACCACCAGCUUUGGCUUUACCUCACACUGUGCAAGCUGGGGAUAGGAUCUGAUGAGGUGGAAACCCAUCCGAUGACCCAUGGGAGGGCUUUAGGGAUCCCCACUGGAAACAGCUUCCCAAGACUCUGCAAGCUGGUUUAUUUAACUUCCACAAGGAGAAAAACCUCUCUUAAUCCAGUUUUAUGACUACAAACCCCUUGAAGGCUGCCUCCUAUGACGUGAGAUGUAACUAAACUCUGAUGUGUCACUGUUCAUCACUCACCAUAUGCUUUGAUGGCUGGAAAUGCGCAUGACCAGGAAAAAACCUGAGAUGCCCUCUUUCUCUUGUGUGGCUUUUUUUUUUUUUUUUUUUAAUGAGAAAGCUCUUUGUAAAGGGUUGUGAUUAUUUCCCCCCACUUUUAAGAGGGUUAGCAAACUCAACAUGCAGCAGAGCAAUAAAGUACCCUUGAUGUCUUCUCAUGGACCAACUUGCUGUUGAAGAAGAUGGCUUGCACCACUGAGCCUCAUCCUGCCCAAAGUGGCUGACACCAGAGGAGGAUGCAUGGGACACGGCAGCAUCCUCCCCCACGGCUCAGGACAAGGCUGUAGCCUCAGAGUGCAUCCAAAGAGAACUUAUGCAUCAAACCGGUAACAACAAUCUAACAGAAACAGUCAAUGAGAGAGGUUUGGCACCUGUCAUCUGAAGGACUGAAAGCAUUUACCAGACCUGGUUUAAUUUGUGCUUGGAUUUUUCUAACACCAUUUACCAGCAUUAAAAGGCCAUGAAAAAAUGCAAAUAGUUGCAAAGUGGGAAGUAUUUUUGUUCUCGUUUUUCACUGGAGAUUGAAAAUCUAGCUGUCUUCCCACUGGAGAAGCUAAUGGUAGAGCAUACUAAUGUGCUUCUGCACUAGUUCUGUGUGUGAAGUAACUUCACAGUCGGAUGUUUAGAUCCCUUCCAGAGCCCCCAGUCCCACGGGAGCGGGUCUCUGGAAUGAGAAAAGCCUGGCUGACUGGACCCGAAUCUCCCCGGGCGUGAGGAUGGUGACACACACGGGAGCUCCCGUGGCCCACCCAGAGCUGGAGGUGAUGCUACUCCACCAGCAGUGGUUCUCCGCUGGGUCUUGCCGUAGCCCAGCAGGAGUUUUGUAUUCCUGUGGACUUCCAAGUGUCUGUCUGAGGAGAUGCUGGCUGCUAACUCCCCUUGUUUGUGUGUUUGGGAGCCUUCAGAUGCCUUCCCUCUGUUUCCAUGCCUGCCUUGGCCAUCAGAGGAAAACUCAGGCCCAGUGUUUCAGCCCUGGCUGUGUCUCGUCACCACCCAGGGUUGUUUAUUGUGGUCCUCAAAGAUGAAAGUACACAAAGCCCAAGAGGCUGGGACAAACCCUGUCUGCAGGUCAGAGAUGAGACUGGUGCAUGGAUUUAACAUCACGCACACAAAAAACACACAUCCUGCAAUACUGCCAAAUUUCACAAAUGUACCGUGACACAAUGGUUACAUCUGGAAGCUAUUUCUGUAAAAAGCACACAGAUGACGUGACCCUGUCUACUCGAGAAACACGCCGGUUCGAUGCAUACAGCGUUCCACAGUCCAUCUUGCUAUACAAUCUUUAAAAAGCAACCAAGAUCUCAAGUUAAAUGUUACCAUAGCUGUAGGUUUCCUAUUCAGGCACCAGAAGGGCUUCUGGCUGGGGCUAUCGACGGGGUAGGUGAGGCAAUUCCUGGUUCAGCCUGGCCAGGAUGUGGCGAGAGGUGUUUGGCCCAAGCCCUGUACAGUCAACCCUGUGUGUUCACUCACUGGCCCGUGCAUCACUAAAGCGACUCCUCGUAACAGGAGCAGAGACGUGUUGGUGGGCUGUGGAAUAGAUUCGUUUGCCCAGGAAAUUAUCAGGAACGAAGUGAGCUCAGCUCCUCACAGAAUCAGGCCCAUUAAUAACAACUUCUUGCUAUUUCCAGAAAAUGACGGUGUUUAGACAAUAAAGGUUUUCAGACGCACAAAGCAACAUGGAUUUUCCCGCAAAGUUCACGCACUGAGAAGUUCGGUUCAUCAGUACUGGCAAUGGCCAGGUAAGCGAGGCAGACCCAGGAGCCAGGGAGUGGGAAAACAAGAAUCUCCAUUUGCACGUAGAGAAGCCAGUAGGUCAAGCGCACAGGAGCCAAACCAGCUAGGAGUCGUUCCUAGUUACUCUGUUAGGUUUGAUUUACUGUUGUGCGUUUUGUGCAGUGUAGGCUUGUUCCUGCCAGGCAUGGCGAAUUCUGACCCAAUUCGGCCAACUGCUAAAUAAGGUGUUUAAUCCUGAGGACGCUGGUAAGCACUUUUCUAGACCAGAGCUGAAGAGCUCAGUGCUUGAAGGACAGGUCUGUAAGAACCCAACCCCUAAUAAAUACAACACAGUAAGGUGCUGGAGGUGCUCACGGGGUGUCCAGAGGCCGGAUGGCAGGCAGCAUCCCACCGGAGAACUGCGAUCCCCGCGCGCAGUCCCCGGACUGAAUGCCAUGUUCACAGCUGCCUCUUCUCUCCCUUCCCAGAAGGCCUUCGCAUCCUCAAUGGGACGCGGUAAUUAAGCUGACAUGGAAGAACACAACCAUUCUUCAAAGGGCUGGCAGAUUGAUUGGGGAUUACUCCUGUAGUUGCACAGCUGCACUUGGGGGAAAUAUGAAUAUUGGAAAAGAAGAAAAAGGAAGACAGCAGAAACAGGGGAACAACAGAAAGUGAGGCAGAACAGAGGAGCGUGAUGGAGAGAGUGUGCAGGAAAGAUAAAACCAGGACAGAAGAAAAAAUCUGUUCUCUUUGCACAGAGUAACACAGAGAAAGUCAGGAAGGAACAGAGCACAUCUGGCACUGCCACUACGCCAACACAGAUGUCCAGAGAGAAAUGUAGUUGGCAUGAGAUCGAAUUGUACUGGACUGUGAGUUUAAAAUCUCCACAAAUGCUGUGUCAAGGGCUGGACUUUGCAGAUCACAAGCUGCCUUACUUAGUGUCUUGCCUACACAGAAACGAGUGGCACCUGGCAUCAUCAGCUCUUGCUCUGACCCUCGCGAUGGGGACCCCGUCUGAGCAGCCAGCUCCCGCUUAACACCUCAGAUAAAUGAUACGGCCACCAAGGUAAGGGCUACACGGGCGGCUGCAGUAUUUAACAGCAGGGUUGCAAACGAGUCAAAGAGUAAGAUACACCGUUAAAAGCAGUUUGGUUUCUCAGGGUGAGCAGAGCGCCUUGCCCCAUGCGCAGGGCCGGGCUCAGGCCAGCCAAGGAGAGCCCCAGUUUGAUGUGGUGAUAGUCCCUGGCCACCCGAACCCUGCCCAUGUAAUGGGGGACACCAGGAAUCACCAGCAUCUCCAGAUGUGGUAUGAUACCUCAUGUACGUAACACAAUGUACGAGCAGUGUAAAUGCCAUUGUCAGGAUAUAGCAAUUGGAAGCCGGGGAGGAAGCCGUGGAAAGACAUGCAGCAAGCGGCACUGCUUGGGAGGAGCCGGGAAGGGACCGAAAGCUGACGAGCUGCAGGGUGAUGGUUUGCAGCAUCUCGCUGCCUGACUUUGGGACUUCGGUGGCUCGCACGAGGCAAGCGCAGCGGCAGAUAAAGCACGAGCAUCUGCUCGCGGGUGCAGCACUGCCCGUGUCUCAGGCAGCUAAUUGCUAAUUGCACACACUGGAAAAACUCCUCUGAAUUAGCAGGGAAACGGCGGGGUUUGGGCACACACCCUGAAACCUGGGGCCACUCAGAAUAUACCUGUCAGCCUCCCUGCCCCAUGGGUAUGAACAGCGUCAGAGGCGGCCGGUGUUUGGGGCUGGGGAUAGCAGGGCACCGGGAGCAGACUUGGUGCUCACAGGUAGGAGAGCGGGCUCACGUUCAGGAGCAGCUUGUGGCUUUAUUUACAAAGCAGUAGUGGUCUGGGGGUGAGCGCGUGUUCCGCUGGGCUCCCCGUGCACCACGCGCACUGCGCUGCCCGCUGCGCUUCGGCGGGGAGAGGAAACCAGAUCCGUUCCCACCGAGCUCUGCCGGGGGACCCACGUCAGUGUGCGUGCUGGGCUCAUUUAAUGCAAAAUAUUUACCAAACGUGUUUAUGACCAUGGUUUGGCUUCAGUUUCAUCCAUAGCAAAUACAUUUCCAGAAAAACACAAAGAAGAAGAAAAUCCUCUGAGGUAAGGAGCAAUAGAGAGAUAAGUCUGAUUAGGAAGACAACUAUUAAUAGCAAUUAUGCUUUAAUUACUGUGCCUAAUCUUUUUGAACCAGCAGUUUCUAGCAUGUCCUCUACCAGACAAAGAACAAACUUAACUCUUCUGAUUCUGCGUUCAACAAGAUGUAGAAGGGAGAUCUACUUCCAGUAGGUUCACUAGCAGCCAGAUAUCAAACUGCUGGCAGAAUAUUUACAUAAACUAUGUAUGAGACAAGACGGCCUCGAAGAAAGGCAGGAGCUGUUCUGUCUGGGUACAACACCGCCUGCGAGCGUAGACAAUCUGAACGUUCCUCUCUGUCUGGACGGCCGUUUCUCCAGGGCCAGGCUAUUAUGGUCCCAGGCUGCUGCCGCAAAAUUCUGGGCAUAAAACAGGCACUGAAAAGGACAUGAAAUAGUCUAGACAGAGGGAAGCAUUUCAAUACUGCUGGAAGGAAGCACGGACUGUGGCUCGGAGCCAUGGCUUAGAUGGCAUUUGAUGUUCUUACUGCCGGGCAGUCCAGGCUCGCGGCAGAGCCUUGAGCCAAGGAACGCAUUCAGCGUCUUUGCACAGUGACCCUCUUCAGAGGGACAGAGCCCCCUCAAAGUGCCUGCCGUCCCCCUCCUCAGAACCGGGACACAACGGCCAAGGUGGCAAAAACCCAGUUCCGCCGAUCCCGGGGGGUCACGGCAGGAAUCCCCAUAAAUCUUUGCACUUGAUAAUUAUAAAGCUUUAGCUAUCCUGUGUGGAAAGUGAAGGUGACGAUAAGCUCGUUAGAUGAAUACAACUACACCGUGACUAUAACUAAAUGUACAUAAAAGCCCCCACUGAGAAAUCGUAACAUUUUACAGUAUAUAUCAUAUACUUGAUACCUCUUCAUGGGUAUCUCUGGAGCCUCUGCCUAUUCUGUCCUAACCCCACACUGUCUUUGGGGUAAAUAUUUUUAAAACUAAACUUCAAUAGUGUUAACUUCUGAAAAAUAUUGAAGUAUAUCAAAAGCAAGUAGACUUGGGGGAGGGCGGGGAAGAUACUACAUCUCAAAACAUUUUCCAGUCUUGUAGAUGCUGGAUCUUGGGUUAAUGCAACAGGACAGGACGUGGGGGCAGGGGGGAGUGUCUUCCUUCUUCUCCAUAGAAAACUGAUGAACAAGAAGUUGAUUGCCUAAUUCUAAAAAUGAAUCUUUUUGUACAUCCGAACAAACAGUCCUACCAAGCACUGUGGAACAACUGACCUUUGCUUUGAAAUCAUGCAUAAAUCUAAAGUAUACAGAAAGAUUAAUCGUUAUAUCUCAGACCUUCUACCAAUAAUUUGAAUGUCUUGCUCAGCUUAAAGAGAGGCCUCAAGAUCAAACUUGGCACAAAGACAUCGAAAGCCAACACAGUGGAAUGGUCAGAAUGAAAACCUUGCAGCGGUGAGGAAAGUAAGAUCGUCAGCAGUGUUUCACCCAGCAGAUAGACAGGCUUCUCUGCAAGCACGGGGUGCGCUGACACCCUGGAAGCUCAUUUGCAGCAUACCUGGCAAGAUCAGAGCCACCAGAAUCGGUAGGCAAGGGCCCUCUGCAAUUUAAUCCAGCCUUAAAAAGAAAUUAAUUAAAGAACCUGCUUGUGAAGAGAAAGGGAUUCACGCCGCUCUCUACCUGGCCGGUGAGGUACAACGGGGCCGGCACACGUGGACCCCCGGCAGAGCCCAGCUGCAGCCUGGCUGUGGGCGUGCAGGACACAGCCAGGACGGAGCUGCGCUUCUCCAGCACGGAAAGCGCCCGGUGCCCGAUCCUGGCUCAGAGCAUGGCACGUCCCGGCAGCGUGGGUUGUGCAGAAACCAGGAGGAAAGAUUCAGGCUCAGAAAGGACUGAAUGAGAGGUGCAUUACAGGUACAGCCCUACUUACAAACAAAAAUAGCUCUAAGUAAGCAGCUGAGAGCGUCUAGACCCUUACCUAUUCUCUGGGGAGAAAGAACAGUAAUUCAGGACCUGGACAGGCUGGAGAGGUGGGCCCGUGCAAACCUCAUGAAGUUCAACAAGGCCAAGUGCAAGGUCUUGCACGUGGGUCGGGGCAAUCCCAAGCACAAGUACAGGCUGGGCGGGGAAUGGAUGGAGAGCAGCCCUGAGGAGAAGGACUUGGGGUGCUGGGGGAUGAGAAGCUCAACAUGAGCCGGCAACGUGCGCUGGCAGCCCAGAAAGCCACCCGUGUCCUGGGCUGCGUGUCCAGCAGCGUGAGCAGCAGGUCGAGGGAGGGGAUUCUGCCCCUCUGCUCCGCUCUGGUGAGACCCCCCUGCAGUGCUGCGUCCAGCUCGGGGGUCCCCAGGACAAGAAGGACAUGGAGCUGUUGGAGAGCCCAGAGGAGGCCAUGGAGAUGAUCAGGGGGCUGGAGCACCUCUGCUAUGGAGACAGGCUGAGAGAGUUGGGGUGGUUCAGCCUGGAGAAGAGAAGGCUGUGGGGAGACCUUAGAGCCCCUUCCAGUCCCUGCAGGGGCUCCAGGAAAGCUGGAGAGGGGCUGGUGCCAAGGGCAGGGAGUGACAGGCCAAGGGGAAUGGCCUGAAGCUGCAGGAGGGGAGAUGGAGAUGGGAUGUGAGGCAGAAAUCCUUCCCUGUGAGGGUGCUGAGGCCCUGGCACAGGGUGCCCAGAGAAGCUGUGGCUGCCCCUGGCUCCCUGGCAGUGUUCAAGGCCAGGUUGGAUGGGGCUUUGGGCAACCUGGGCUAGUGGAGGGUGUCCCUGCCCAUGGCAGGGGUGGCACUGGGUGGGCUCUGAGGUCCCUUCCAACCCAAACCAUCUGGGAUCAUCAGCUGUGCCAGCCUGUAUUUGUUGGUUAGUCAAGUAUUUUGUAAACAGUAGGAUUUAUUAUACAAAACACAAUUUUAGGUUUAACACAGUCUCAGCAUUUUAAAUA